GAUGAACGCUGGCGGCGUGCUUAAUACAUGCAAGUCGAGCGAAAGGACGCUGAUCUUGUUGCUUUGAUGUUAGCGGCGGGCGGGUGAGUCACACGUGUAUAACCUACCUAUCAUACUGGGAAAAACUGGGGAAACCGGCGCUAAUCACGUAUGAUAUUUUGAAGCAAGUUGGUCAAAGGUGAAAGGCGGUCUUGCUGUCUCUUAUAGAUGGAUCCGGGCUGAAUUAGCUAGUUGGUAGGGUACCGGCUUACCAAGGCAAAGAUGCCUAGCCGAGCGGAGAGGGGGAACCGCCACACAGGAGCUGAGACGCGUCCCAGGCACCUACGGGAGGCAGCAGUAGGAAAUUGUCCGCAAUGGGCGAAAGCCUGACGGAGCAACGCCGCGUGAGUGAUGAAGCGCUGCGGAUCGUAAAACUCUGUUAUGAGGGAAGAACAUAUGUGUAAGUAACGGUGCACAUCUUGACGGUACCUAAUAAGAAAGCCCCGGCUAAUUACGU
rnacentral:rRNA from 1 species